rnacentral:rRNA from 1 species
AACGGCCAUACCAUGCUGAAUAUACCGGUUCUCGUUAGAUCACCGAAGUCAAGCAUCAUUGGGCGCGGUCAGUACUUGGGUGGGGGACCACCUGGGAACACUGGG